GCAGGCUCACUCUGUGUCAGCUUCAGCUUUUCCCAACCUGGCACCUUUUCCGCCUGUCACAGUAAUUUCCCUGCCAACGAGUUCAGCAGCCUCCUUCUGCACAGGGGUCAUGCCAGCCGUUGUGCUUGGGAAUACAGUG